GUGGGGAAUCUUGCGCAAUGGGCGAAAGCCUGACGCAGCCAUGCCGCGUGAAUGAUGAAGGUCUUAGGAUUGUAAAAUUCUUUCACCGGGGACGAUAAUGACGGUACCCGGAGAAGAAGCCCCGGCUAACUUCGUGCCAGCAGCCGCGGUAAUACGAAGGGGGCUGGCGUUGCUCGGAAUUACUGGGCGUAAAGGGCGCGUAGGCGGACAGUUUAGUCAGAGGUGAAAGCCCAGGGCUCAACCUUGGAAUUGCCUUUGAUACUGGCUGUCUUGAGUACGGGAGAGGUGAGUGGAACUCCGAGUGUAGAGGUGAAAUUCGUAGAUAUUCGGAAGAACACCAGUGGCGAAGGCGACUCACUGGCCCGUUACUGACGCUGAGGCGCGAAAGCGUGGGGAGCAAACAGGAUUAGAAACCCCAGUAGUCC
rnacentral:rRNA from 1 species